rnacentral:rRNA from 1 species
UACGUAGGGGGCAAGCGUUGUCCGGAAUUAUUGGGCGUAAAGAGCGCGUAGGCGGUCUGAUAAGUCGGUUGUGAAAGUCGGGGGCUCAACCCUCGGAUGCCGAUCGAUACUGUCAGGCUAGAGUCCGGAAGAGGCGAGUGGAAUUCCUGGUGUAGCGGUGAAAUGCGCAGAUAUCAGGAGGAACACCAAUGGCGAAGGCAGCUCGCUGGGACGGUACUGACGCUGAGGCGCGAAAGCGUGGGGAUCAAACAGG